UACAAUUUUAAUUGUAAUGUUACUAAUUAAUAACAUAGAUACUCCUCUGUCCUCCAGGUACGUGUUAGUUAAGAAGUUAUAUUUUAUCGCUAUUUGAAAUAAGUAGACUGCUUCUGUCUAAGUGUGUGUGUGUUAAGGUCGUUGAGCGAAACCUCCAGCUGCUGCCCACCGAACCCCACGAUGAACCUUCAGCUGUCGUUCUGCCUCUCAGUGCUGGUGAGCUGAGCAGCGCCUGGUACAAUAUUCAGUUCCUCUCUUCAGACUCCUUCAUCUCACAGUCUGGGUCAGUGGACAUUAGGAGAUACUUCCUCGACAUUAUAAGGGGUCCAGAGCAUCGGUUCUGCUGGUUUAAAACCACCCAAACCUGCUACUCUGAUCAGGGGG